UUUUGACGAGUGAUAAUUAUAAUUCGACUAGUCAGAAUGACAAUUAGAGAUAUCUGCAGUUAUAAUUGCAUUAGUAAGAAAUCCGAUAUCCGAUAAGAUAUCUGUAAUAUAUGUUUUGACUAGUCAAAACCCCAUUUAAGAUAUCUGUAAUGAUGUCAUAGGUAUCUUUAAAAGACGCGUCAUUUAUCCGCAAAGGUAAGUAGAGAUAUCUCUAGGUUUCGACUAGUCACAAUUAUAUUUUAAGAUAUCUGAAUUGUACUUGCUCCUAGUCGAAUCCGCUGUUGCGUGACGUGAAACUACAUUUCCUCAGCCCCACCCAGAGUUCCUUCCCGCCUCCCUAGGUAACCGCUAACAACCUAGUAUGCUUUUGUUUUCAGAGAGAAAAGAUAUGAAGUACUUCAGGGAUUAUUAAACCAUGGCGGCAGCUGGGGCCUGUACCAUGAAGCCGGAUUAUCUGGCUAGCCAGGUAAGAUUCAGAUUAGUUUGCAAUCCUGGGUUUUAGGUACCAUGAAAGUGACUUGGCUUUUAGCGGUGUUCAUCGCCAUAGUAACUUACGCUCCACGGCUAACCUGCUCCAGGGCAGGUUAUGUUCUGGUUCAGACAUCUCAAACCGAAUUUGGACCAAUCAGAUGUGAGCAAAGUGACACUGACAGAUCCAAUGCAAUAAAGUCACUCCCCCAGUUUCUCUUCCUCCAAAUUAAAGGUCACUAUAUAGUAAAAUAAAUAAAUAAAUAAAUUUAACAAUGAAAUUGUCUGGCUUUAAUGCUAAGUAAUUACUUAGAAUGACUUUAUGAUUUAUAUAUGAUUUCUAUAAUAAUUCAAUUAUAUAUAUUAUUAUUAAUCCAUUACACAAGCGAUUUUAGUUGAACAGUUAUCAUUAUUUAGUUUCAAUGAAUAUUAAUAUAUACAGAUCAUGUGUAAUAUAAAUAAGCUGUAAAUAAACUUUAAAUAUGACUACAUGUGACCUGAGUCUCUAUCACUAUAUAUUAUCAACUAAAUUAACUUUCACAAGUUUCACUUGCACUGAUAGAGCAAAAUCAUUUCUUUUAUUUUCAUCAGUGUAAAUGAGUUUAAAUUCUUCAUUUUCUUCAAUCUCUUAAUCUUCAGCAAAAGAGUUUUAAAUCGUGCUGGCUCUCUUGCGAGAAGCGAAUCAUUGUUUCUCUCUGUUGCAAGACUUGUGAUUGGCUGUUUGCCACUGAUGUCACGCAUUCAUGUGCACAUGCUCCACAAACUCAGGAUCAAAGCCUGAGUUGACAGAGAAAGUUGAUGAUCAGCAUCAUGGUACCAACAAAGCCGGAUUGGAGUGGUUUGGUUUUGUCAACUCGAAACUAUAAUCCUAUAACCCUGAGUUUGUUCAACUACCAUCAUGGUACAGGCCCCUGUUCUCGACAAAAUAGCAAGAAAGUGUCAACAAAUUGAAAGAGCUCAAAGUCAGGGAAAUUGUAGUGAGCGCGAACUUCGUGCGAUAGAUGAUUGCUUAAGAAAUGCACAGAGAAUUUCAUAUUUGCUACCUCCUGAGACGUAUGAAGAACUGAACAGAAAUCUGGAUGAAAUUCGAACAAUGCUGUCAACGCAUUUGCAGAGUGAGGGAACUACAGCGUUUUCUGUAUCUCGAAGUAGCUCAGGUAGCCGAUGUAGACCAGCCAUUCAAAUAACACGUGACCAAAUUGAAUUUUUAAUGAAGCAAGGUCACACAGUCAAGCGAAUGGCAAGAAUGUUAGGGUGCUCAUCCUCAUUUCUGUACAAGAGGUCCAAGCUGCUUGGUGUAUCAAUCAGGAGCAGAAUGUCAGGAGUGGAUGAUGAAGAACUUGAAAAUGUAGUGAGACGACUCCAAUGCCAGUAUCCAAAUACUGGAAGUGAGAAGGAUUGAGGGUUUCCCGGCAUAGGGUUCGUGAGAUGUUGGUCCGUAUCAAUCCAGCAGCUGCUGCAAGGAGAAGGAGUAGCACAGUGGCUAGAAGAGUUUAUCAAGUGCCCUGUCCCAACAGUCUUUGGCACAAUGAUGGCAACAUGCGCCUCAUAAGAUGAGGCUUUGUGAUUCAUGGUGCAAUCGAUGGACAUUCACGACUAAUCACUUACCUAAAUUGCAACACAGACAACUGUGCCAGUACUGUGCUGUCAGUUUAUUCAAGCAACAUGCCUUUACGGUCUGCCCUCUAGGGUAAGGUCAGAUCACGGUAGUGAGAACUUACAAGUGGCCUUGUUUAUGAACCUUGUUCAAGGACUUCAGCGCCGGAGUCACAUUACUGGGGAAUCAGUCCACAACCAAAGGAUAGAACGUUUGUGGAGGGAUGUAUUUUUACAUGUGCUUUCUACAGCAUGUUCUACAGUCUUGAAGAUUCUGAACUGCUUGAUCCCAGCAAUGACCUUCACAAAGUUUCGCUCAGCAUAGUGUUUCUUCCAGAGAUCCAAGCUAGACUACAGCACUUCAAAGAGGCAUGGAAUCACCAUGCUUUGCAGACAGAAAACAAUAAAACACCAACACAGUUAUGGACAGAAGGAAUGCUGUCAAGGAUAGGAACUGACAGCACAGCCAUCAACAAUGUGUUUGGAGACAAUCUCUACAGGCCAGAACAUUUUAAUGAACUCCUGGCUCAACAUGGUAUUGAGUCUUUGCCCACAGCUGAAAAUGAAGAAAUCCCAGCUGUAACUGUUGAACAGCCUCAAAUUAACCUUACUCCUCAGCAAAUGGAAACUGUGUCCCAUGCUAUUUGAUUUGAAGAUUAAGUUUCAGGUAUGUUGUGCAGAAAUUGCUAAUGUUUUGGCAAACUAGUGUUGCAGAUGAGAGUGUGUUAUAAAGAAUGUCAUUCUUUUGUAAUAUUUUAAUAUGUAAAAUUUAUAACUACAAGAAUGCUCUGUUGAAGAAUUAAUAGAUGCUUAGAUGCUGACAUUGAAAAAAUGAUUUUCUAUGAAAAGCUGGUGUACAAGUGAGAGAACCUGAACAAACAGUUAAAAAUGAGCAAUGUAACCGUUUUUUUUCCCACAAUAAACACAAACAUGCAUAAUGCAGAACAAUGCAUUUUAUUUUGGAAUGGAUGCACAUCUCAAACAUAUUUGACUUCAAGGUGCUUCUUACAGUUUUUUACAAUCACUUUGCUACUAUUUUCAGAACCUUGAUGUCAUUUUUCAAAACUCUAGACACAAAACUCAAAACGGUUAUCACUUGUAACACAGGCUGUCUAGUGUUCAAAACACUGCAUUGUGCAUCCACAUCUUUAAAGAAAUCUUGCACUUGCACAAUCAUUGGUUCAAAACACAAAUUUACUGUGAAAUACCAUUGAAACAUAACUAUAGAUCACCCAAACACAAGCAACCGAUAGUUUCACUGUGUCAUUGUUCAUACAAUCAUUAAAUAUUGUAGAACAAAAUAGGUGAUACAGGUUUCAUUAUGGUACUACAUAUAUAGUAAAUACAUCUCUGUAAAAGUACUGCAGUAGUAGAGAGAAUACUACAGACACAGUGGAAUCAUCAUACAAAGAUUGUAAUAUAUUGAUGCAAAACACUACAGUACAAUCACAACAUAGCUUUAUUUGAAUCAAAGCAAAAAUAAUUAGCUAUGAAAUAGAAAAGAAAAGACAGUUCUGUAAAACAUCAAAUGCAGUGUUCCUCAACUUGCUUGUACUGUAAGAAACAAAAACAGGAGUGCACUGCAAAACAUGCUGUUCUUACUUAGAGUUUUUGUCUUGUUUCUAGUCAAAAUAUCUUAUAUUCAUGAAGCAUUUUCUUGACAAGUAAAAAUUAUUUUCUUGUUUUCAGGAAAAAUAAGUCAAAAUUACAGUUUUUUACAAUCACUUUGGUACUAUUUUCAGAACCUUGAUGUCAUUUUUCACAACUCUAGACACAAAACUCACAACCAAUGAUCAAAAUGCAAAUUUUUCAAAACUCUAACCCUUUUCUCAAUUGCUUGGAUACAAUAAACUUAGAUAAUUCGUUCAUUCAACAAAAAUCACCUGUUCAAUAUGACACAACUUAACAUCAAAGUACUACUAUUUCAAAAGGCAAUUCACACAUUACAUUUCAAAUGAGUGUCUAUUCAUUUCCUUACAAUGAUCUAACUAUCAAUUGAUACAACUGCUCAAAAUGAUAAGUAACUGUUGCAUUACUCUUAAUGCAUAGUUGUAUGGAAACAGAAAAACAAUCUUCCAUGUUUACUGUAAAUCAUGAAAGUUUCAGGUUAACGAGAUUCAUUGUCACCAAUUAGCGUGGAGCAUGAACCAAUUAGACUAAAAUAUCCAUGGAUGUAGCCUUAUAUUUUAUCAUAAUGCUUCAUCAGACACUGUGUCUAUGGCCCCAAAUACUGUACCACCUUCUCACACUGCAAAACAUGCUGUUCUUACUUAGAGUUUUUGUCUUGUUUCUAGUCAAAAUAUCUUAAAGUUCUUAAAUCAAGAAGCAUUUUCUUGACAAGUAAAAAUUAUUUUCUUGUUUUCAGGAAAAACU